rnacentral:rRNA from 1 species
UGCGUAGGCGGUUUAAUAAGUCAGAAGUGAAAAGUCCGAGCUCAACUGGGGCCUUGCUUUUGAUACUGUUAGACUUGAAUCAGGCUGAGGUUAGCGGAAUGUGACAUGUAGCGGUGAAAUGCAUAGAUAUGUCAUAGAACACCAAUUGCGAAGGCAGCUAACUAGACCUCGAUUGACGCUGAGGCACGAAAGCGUGGGGAGCGAACAGGAUUAGAUACCCUGGUAGUCC